UAUUUUUAAAUAAUUUUCAUAAAAACUGGUAUUUUUGGAAAUUUUUCAUUUUUUAGAGAAAUGUUGAAGAUUUGAGUUUGUGAUUUAGAAAUUAGAGUAACAAGAAUAUUUGUGGAUAGAUGAGUAUUGUUUCGGAGUUUUUCAUCAAUUGGUUGUAUUUUUAAAUAAUUUUCUUAAAAACUGCUAUUUGUGGAAAGUUUACAUUUUUUUAGAGAAAUACUGUAGAUUUGAGUUUGUGGUUUAAAAAUUAAGAUAACAAAAAUAUUUGUGGAUAGAUAAGUAUUAUUUAAGAAUUUUUCAUCAAUGUAUUGUAUUUUUAAAUAAUUUUCUUAAAAACUGCUAUUUUUGGAAAGUUUUCAUUUUUUAGAGAAAUAUUGUAGAUUUGGGUUUGCGAUUUAGAAAUUAGGAUAACUAGACUAUUUGUGGACAGAUGAAUACUCUUUAAAAAUGUUUUAUCAAUAUUUUGUAUUUUUAAAUAAUUUUCUUAAAAUUUGCUAUUUCUAGAAAGUUUUCAUUUUAUAGAUAAAUAUUGUAGAUUUGGGUUUGUGAUUUAAAAAUUAAGAUAACAAAAAUAUUUGUUGAUAGUGUAGAUUUAGGUUUGUGAUUUAAAAAUUAGGAUAACAAGAAUAUUUGUGGAUAGAUGAAUAUUAUUUAAGAAUUUUUCAUCAAUGUGUUGUAUUUUUAAAUAAUUUUCUUAAAAAGAGUUAUUUCUGGAAAGUUUUCAUUUUAUAGAUAAAUAUUGUAGAUUUGAGUUUGUGAUUUAGAAAUUAAGAUGACUAUUUGUGGACAAAUGAAUACUCUUUGAGAAUUUUUCAUCAAUAUGUUGUAUUUUUAAAUAAUUUUCUUAAAAACUGCUAUUUUUAGAAAGUUUUCAUUUUUGGAGAAAUAUUGUAGAUUUGGGUUCGCGAUUUAGAAAUUAGGAUAACUAGACUAUUUGUGGACAGAUGAAUAAACUUUAAAAAUGUUUUAUCAAUAUUUCAUAUUUUUAAAUAAUUUUCUUAAAAACUGCUAUUUCUAUAAAGUUGUCACUUUAUAGAUAAAUAUUGUAGAUUUAGAUUUGUGAUUUAGAAAUUAGGAUAACAAUUAUAUUUGUGGAUAGAUGAGUAUCAUUUAAGAUUUUUUCAUCAAUGUGUUGUAUUUUUAUAUAAUUUCCUUAAAAAAUGCUAUUUCUGGAAAGUUUUCAUUUUGUAGAUAAAUAUUGUAGAUUUGGGUUUGUGAUUUAGAAAUUAGGAUAACUAGACUAUUGGUGGACAGAUGUAUACUCUUUAAGAAAUUUUCAUCAACAAGUUGUAUUUUAAAUAAGUUUCUUAAAAACUUCUAUUUUUGGAAAGUUUUCAUUUUUUAAAGAAAAAUAAUUUUAUUAAAAGUUGCUAUUUUUCGGAAACUUUACAUUUUUUUAGAGAAAUAUUGUAGAUUUGAGUUUGUGGUUUAUAAUUAGGAUAACAAGAAUAUUUGUGGAUAGAUGAAUAUUAUUUAAGAAUUUUUCAUCAAUGUGUUGUAUUUUUAAAUAAUUUUCUUAAAAACUGUUAUUUUUGAAAAGUUUCCAUUUUUAGAUAAAUAUUGUAGAAUUGGGGUUUGUGAAUAACAAGAAUAUUUGUGGAUAGAUGAGUAUUUUUCGGAGUUUUUCAUCAAUAGGUUGUAUUUUUAAAUAAUUUUCUUAAAAACUGUUAUUUUUGAAAAGUUUCCAUUUUUAGAUAAAUAUUGUAGAAUUGGGGUUUGUGAAUAACAAGAAUAUUUGUGGAUAGAUGAGUAUUUUUCGGAGUUUUUCAUCAAUAGGUUGUAUUUUUAAAUAAUUUUAUUAAAAGUUGCUAUUUUUCGGAAACUUUACAUUUUUUUAGAGAAAUAUUGUAGAUUUGAGUUUGUGGUUUAUAAUUAGGAUAACAAGAAUAUUUGUGGAUAGUUGAGUACUCUUUAAGAAAUUUUCAUCAUUAUGUUGUAUUUUUUUAAAAAAUUCUUAAAAACUACUAUUUUUUGAAAGUUUAUAUUGUUAAGAGAAAUAUUGUAGAUUUGAGUUUGUGGUUUAAAAAUUAAGAUAACAAGUAUAUUUGUGGGUAGUUGGGUAUUCUUUUAGAAAAUUUCAAAAACAAGUUGUAUUUUAAAUAAUUUUCUCUAAAGCUGCUAUUUUUAGAAAAAAUUCAUUUACUAAACAAAUAUUGUUGAUUUGUGUUUUGUGAUUUAGAAAUUAGGAUAACAAAAAUUUUAUGGAUAGAUGGGUAUUCUUUCAGAAUUCUUCAACAAUAGGUUGUAUUUUUAACCAUUUUUGUAAAGCCUGCUAUUUUUGGAAAGUUUUAAUUUUAUAGAUAAAUAUUGUAGGUCUGGGUUUGUGAUUUAGAAAUUAUGAUAACUAGACUAUUUGUUGACAGAUGAAUAUUCUUUAAGAAUAUAUCAUCAAUAUAUGGUAUUUUUAAAUAAUUUUCAUAAAAAUUGGUGUCUUUGGAAUUUUUUCAUUUUUUAAAGAAAUAUUGUAGAUUUGAGUUUGUGAUUUAGAAAUUAGAGUAACAAGAAUAUUUGUGGAUAGAUGAGUAUUGUUUCGGAGUUUUUCAUCAAUUGGCUGUAUUUUUAAAUAAUUUUCUUAAAACAAUUAUUUUUGGAAAGUUUACAUUUUUUUAGACAAAUACUGUAGAUUUGAGUUUGUGGAUUAAAAAUUAGGAUAACAAAAUAUUUGUGGAUAAAUGAGUAUUAUUUAAGAAUUUUUCAUCAAUGUGUUGUAUUUUUAAAUAAUUUUCUUAAAAACAGUUUUUUCUGGAAAGUUUUCAUUUUAUAGAUAAAUAUUGUAGAUUUGGGUUUGUGAUUUAGAAAUUAGGAUGACUAUUUGUGGACAAAUGAAUACUCUUUGAGAAUUUUUCAUCAAUAUAUUGUAUUUUUAAAUAAUUUUCUUAAAAACUGCUAUUUUUGGAAAGUUUUCAUUUUUUAGAGAAAUAUUGUAGAUUUGGGUUUGCGAUUUAGAAAUUAGGAUAACUAGACUAUUUGUGGACAGAUGAAUACUCUUUAAAAAUGUUUUAUCAAUAUUUUGUAGUUUUAAAUAAUUUUCUUAAAAACUGAUAUUUCUGGAAAGUUUUCAUUUUCUAGAUAAAUAUUGUAGAUUUGGGUUUGUGAUUUAUAAAUUAGGGUAACAAUAAUAUUUGUGGAUAGAUGAGUAUCAUUUAAGAAUUUUUCAUCAAUGUGUUGUAUUUUUAAAUAAUUUUCUUAAAAAAUGCUAUUUCUGAAAAGUUUUCAUUUUGUAGAUAAAUAUUGUAGAUUUGGGUUUGUGAUUUAGAAAUUAGGAUAACUAGACUAUUUGUGGACAGAUGAAUACUCUUUAAAAAUGUUUUAUCAAUAUUUUGUAGUUUUAAAUAAUUUUCUUAAAAACUGAUAUUUCUAGAAAGUUUUCAUUUUAUAGAUAAAUAUUGUAGAUUUGGGUUUGUGAUUUAUAAAUUAGGGUAACAAUAAUAUUUGUGGAUAGAUGAGUAUCAUUUAAGAAUUUUUCAUCAAUGUGUUGUAUUUUUAAAUAAUUUUCUUAAAAAAUGCUAUUUCUGAAAAGUUUUCAUUUUGUAGAUAAAUAUUGUAGAUUUGGGUUUGUGAUUUAGAAAUUAGGAUAACUAGACUAUUUGUGGACAGAUGUAUACUCUUUAAGAAAUUUUCAUCAAUAUGUUGUAUUUUAAAAUAAUUUUCUUAAAAACUGAUAUUUUUGGAAAGUUUUCAUUUUAUAGAUAAAUAUUGUAGAUUUGGGUUUGUGAUUUAUAAAUUAGGGUAACAAUAAUAUUUGUGGAUAGAUGAGUAUCAUUUAAGAAUUUUUCAUCAAUGUGUUGUAUUUUUAAAUAAUUUUCUUAAAAAAUGCUAUUUCUGAAAAGUUUUCAUUUUGUAGAUAAAUAUUGUAGAUUUGGGUUUGUGAUUUAGAAAUUAGGAUAAAUAGACUAUUUGUGGACUGAUGAAUACUCUUUAAGAAUUUUUUAUCAAUAUGUUGUAUUUUUAAAUAAUUUUCUGAAAAACUGCUAUUUUUGAAAAGUUUUCAUUUUAUAGAUAAAUAUUGUAGAUUUGGAUUUGUGAUUUAGAAAUUAGGAUAACUAGACUAUUUGUGGACAGAUGUAUACUCUUUAAGAAAUUUUCAUCAAUAUGUUGUAUUUUAAAAUAAUUUUCUUAAAAACUGAUAUUUUUGGAAAGUUUUCAUUUCUUUGAUAAAUAUUGUAGAUUUGGGUUUGUGAUUUAGAAAUUAGGAUAAAUAGACUAUUUGUGGACUGAUGAAUACUCUUUAAGAAUUUUUUAUCAAUAUGUUGUAUUUUUAAAUAAUUUUCUGAAAAACUGCUAUUUUUGAAAAGUUUUCAUUUUAUAGAUAAAUAUUGUAGAUUUGGAUUUGAGAAUUAGAAAUUAGGAUAACUAGACUAUUUGUGGCAGAUGAAUACUCUUUAAAAAAUUUUCAUCAACAGGUUGUAUUUUUAAAUAAUUUUCUUAAAAGCUGCUAUUUCUGAAAAGUUUACAUUUUUUUUGAGAAAUACUAUAGAUUUGACUUUGUGAUUUAUAAAUUAAGAUAACAAUAAUAUUUGUGGAUAGUUUAGUAGUUUUUUAGAAAUUUUCAUCAACAAGUUGUAUUUUAAAUAAUUUUCUUAAAAACUUCUAUUUUUGGAAUU
rnacentral:lncRNA from 1 species